rnacentral:rRNA from 1 species
GAGGAAAAGAAACCAACAGGGAUUGCCUUAGUAACGGCGAGUGAAGCGGCAAAAGCUCAAAUUUGAAAUCUGGCACCUUCGGUGUCCGAGUUGUAAUUUGAAGAAGGUAACUUUGGAGUUGGCUCUUGUCUAUGUUCCUUGGAACAGGACGUCACAGAGGGUGAGAAUCCCGUGCGAUGAGAUGCCCAAUUCUAUGUAAAGUGCUUUCGAAGAGUCGAGUUGUUUGGGAAUGCAGCUCUAAGUGGGUGGUAAAUUCCAUCUAAAGCUAAAUAUUGGCGAGAGACCGAUAGCGAACAAGUACAGUGAUGGAAAGAUGAAAAGAACUUUGAAAAGAGAGUGAAAAAGUACGUGAAAUUGUUGAAAGGGAAGGGCUUGAGAUCAGACUUGGUAUUUUGCGAUCCUUUCCUUCUUGGUUGGGUUCCUCGCAGCUUACUGGGCCAGCAUCGGUUUGGAUGGUAGGAUAAUGACUAAGGAAUGUGGCUCUACUUCGGUGGAGUGUUAUAGCCUUGGUUGAUACUGCCUGUCUAGACCGAGGACUGCGUCUUGACUAGGA